rnacentral:rRNA from 1 species
UCCGGAAUCAUUGGGUUUAAAGGGUCCGUAGGCGGGCCUGUAAGGUCAGGGGUGAAAGUCUGUGGCUCAACCAUAGAAUUGCCUUUGAUACUGCAGGUCUUGAGUCAUGGUGGGGGUUGCCGGAACAUGUGGUGUAGCGGUGAAAUGCAUAGAUAUCACAUAGAACACCGAUCGCGAAGGCAGGUGACCAACCAUGUACUGACGCUGAUGGACGAAAGCGUGGGUAGCGAACGGGAUUAGAUACCCCGGUAGUCCACGCCGUAAACGAUGGAUACUAGCUGUGGGGCAUUCGUGCUCCGUGGCCAAGCGAAAGUGAUAAGUAUCCCACCUGGGGAGUACGUUCGCAAGAAUGAAACUCAAAGGAAUUGACGGGGGCCCGCACAAGCGGUGGAGCAUGUGGUUUAAUUCGAUGAUACGCGAGGAACCUUACCAGGGCUUAAAUGCAGGCUGCAUGGGGUGGAGACACCCCUUUCUUCGGACCGCCUGCAAGGUGCUGCAUGGUU